rnacentral:lncRNA from 1 species
AUGACUCAGUAUAAACUUUUAAAACACUCGUUAUUUUCCCUAACCCUACAACGCGAUCAUUCAUUUCAACGAGCAAAACGCGAUGCUGCAAACACAGCGCAGGAGACGGAUGGCGUAAAAAAAAAAAGCCAAAAACAACAUAAAAAUAAAGCACCGCCAGACAGAGAGAGGAAAGGACAGAUGGAGGAAAAGUGGCUCCGUGCACAACUCCUCCCGGAGCCGCUCGGUGACAGCGGAUGUCCCGCACGGCCCGGAGCCGCCCGCCCCUCUGCCGGGGCUCGGAUCCGCGGGGGGCCCCGCUCGGCACCGGGAGCGGAGCGGCUCGGCGGCAGCCGGCAGUGCCCCUUUAAAGGCCGUCGUCCCGCCCCCAGCACCGCAUAUGGAGGGAGCCAGGAGCGGAGCGAGGCUUCUGCAUUCAAACGCCACAUCAAACGCCGCGAGCGCCGCUCCCGCACGGCUCCGGGCUGGGCCCGACGGCGGCUCCCUCCGCCGCACGCAGCUCCCGGGGCGGCGGGAGGAGGGAGGAAAGAAACGGGGAAAGAGGGGGGAGGAGGAGAGGGGAAAAUAAACGAGAGAAAAACGGGGCACCUGCAGAACGCCGGGCUGCGUCCGGGCGGCCAGAGCCCGCUCCACCGCCGGGCUCCGGCAACAGGCGGAGCGCCCGGCCCCGCAGCCCGCAGCGCCUCGGCUGGGCGGGCGGCGACAGCCGGGGCACGGCGAGGAGCCGAGGAAGCCCGAGCACACCCGGAGCCCACCCGGAGCCCCGAGCCCCGCUCCGGCGUGGAGCCCCGUCCCCGGGUCGAGCCGAGCCCCUACCUGCGAGCCAGCGUGCGGCGGGCGGCAGCCGGAGCCCGGCGAAGGCGACCGCCAGCCCGACGGAAAGUCCCUGCCGCUGUGCGCCGUCUCCCCCCGCCCCACACUUCCUCUCCCGCCCGCUCGGGCUGGAAAUCCCCGGCGAAACCCGCUCCUCCUCACUCACGAGGGGCGGGACCCAACCGGCCGCUCAGCGCGCAGGCGACAAGCCGGGGGCCGGGCCUGCCUUACCCGGCUGCACCUGAUGCCGCCGAUACUCGCUGCCCGACGCCGCGGGGCAAAACCCGGGGGGAGGAAGGAGCGGCGGGCAGCGAGCCACGGGACACGGGCGGGCUGCUCGGGGCUGGGGGCUGCUCGGGGCUGGGGGCUUGUGGGGGCUCGGGCGGCUCAGCCUGGGCUUGUGGUCGCCCCGGGGACGCGCCCCGAGGCGCCGGCAGCGGGCGGUGCGGAGCCGCCGGGAGGGAUGGAGGCGGUGCGAGGCGGCCGUUGUGCCGCGCGGGAAGGAUGGGGAUGGGAUGGGAUGGGGAUGGAGAUGGGCUGGGGCUCCUCACAGCGAGAGGAUCCGCACAAAGGGCCGCUCCGAACGCGGUCGCCUUUAUUUAA